CAGAGGGACUGAGUGCUCCCGCCAGCUCGUGUGCCAGCAGUGUGGGGGAGACCCGCCCACCUCACACACCCGCCUCACGCUCACCAUGUCUCCGCCCGGGGCCUCCUGCGGCUCACGGCUCCUGGGGUCGAAGCUCUCCCUGCUACUGAGGCUGAGCCCCACAAGACUUCCUCAGCUGACAGGACCUCUACGCUAUGGCCGCGCCAGAAAGAAAGAUGGCGGGUAAAGAACUUCCGCCCCGCCCUCCAGCAUUCAUGAACUGACAGUUCCCACAAACUUCGGCACAUCUUAUACCUGCUUUCUAGGUUUCUAGCUGGCCUGAGGCCUGCUUCUGGUUGACCAUUAGAACUAAAUCGAAGGACUCUAAUGCUGACGACAACACACCAUUUGGUUGCAAAACCAACCAACCAACCAACCAAACCAACCCCAGGAAAAAAAAAUUAAGCCAGAACUUUGCGGCUGAGAGCAAAGUGUCUUAGCCAGUUGUGAAUCCCGUAAUCUACAAUAUCGACCGGUCAGUCAAGAUGUGUCCUUGGUGUAAGAGUGGAAUGGAAGAUUAGUAAUGCUGUCAGAGAAGAUUACUGCUGGCCAGACAAGCUUCUUUUUGCAGUGGGUGAUGUUUAAUACUUCUAAGUGGUCCACUUCUAAGUGACUCUUGAAUACUCACCCCCUAACAGGAUGUCUGUGCCACCCAUCCAAGACUUGGAGAACAUCACAAAAGGAUAGAAAGAAUACAGACACUAGCUGGACUGAAACUGAAGAAUCUAUAUUGCAAGCAAGGAAAUAUUAAAAGAAAGUUAGCUGAACUUGCUGGCCAUACUGGGACAGUUUGACCAGAAGAUACUGGCCAUGCUUGAAGCUGACAAAACUUGGAUAGACUUGUUGGAAACCCAUUCGGAGGUGAAGCGAAUGGUUUAGUUGUCAUGCACUGAGUAAAUAUCCUUGUGACUGCCACAGAACUGUGUUACAUGGCUGCAUGCUGGUGGCUCUGUAUCUCUGGGGUAUCAAUGGUGAUCAUUCUUCCACGGACCACCCAUGCACUGUACUGUUGAUGACGGCAACAGCUUCAACUCUACAGGUAGCCCAGGCCUUAGGAAUGGGAGUCUCUCUGAUAGCUCUGCUCCUACCAAACAAUUUUGCCUGGGCCUUAGGAAUGUUGGAGAGAUCUUGGAAUAUACAUGGAGAAGUCUACCCUUCUGUCCAGCUUCUACACUCUGAAGACCUGGAGUAUUAGAAACAUAUAGUUUGAGAUUUGUUAGUGACUUUUCAUCAGUAGACAGAAGGUAAGCACUGACUCAAGAACAGCAGGAAGAAACAGAUUUAUGGUGGCCUUAGUCUCAAGGUUAGUUGGUAUCGUUAACCCCUUUCCCCCAUGUUAAAUUUUUCUGCAUCAAGGGCAUGACAUCCCUAUAAUCUCAGCACUCAGAAGGCUGAAACAGUACUAUUAUUUUGUGGC